rnacentral:rRNA from 1 species
GGGGAAUUUUCCGCAAUGGGCGAAAGCCUGACGGAGUGACGCCGCGUGGGGACGAAGGCCUUCGGGUUGUAAACCCCUGUCAGAGGGAAAGAAGGGUCGCCGACCUAACACGUCGGUGAUUUGACGGUACCUUCAGAGGAAGCACCGGCUAACUCUGUGCCAGCAGCCGCGGUAAUACAGAGGGUGCGAGCGUUGUCCGGAAUCACUGGGCGUAAAGGGCGCGUAGGCGGUCUGGUAAGCGUGUGGUGAAAGCUCGGGGCUCAACCCCGAGUCGGCCGUGCGAACUGCUGGACUGGAGCAUGUCAGAGGCAGGCGGAAUUCCGGGUGUAGCGGUGGAAUGCGUAGAGAUCCGGAAGAACACCGGUGGCGAAGGCGGCCUGCUGGGACAUGGCUGACGCUGAGGCGCGACAGCGUGGGGAGCAAA